GUAGCUAAUGGACUAACGAAGGAGAGAUGACCACGCCGAGCUUAAAUGCAGCCAUGCUGAUUGUCACUGAAUGAGGAACAGAUGCCUUGUUGGGACCUGUCUACUUUUCCUAAGCACACAGAUUACUUCUGAACAUGCUGGGGAUCUCUCCACUAAAUCAGCUCCUCUCUGGCACCACCUCUGUAGCAAGACCCUUUACCUACCUAUUCACAAUCAGCUGUCACUCUCCACCUGGCCUCCAUAUUAAGCCAGCCUGAUAUAAUAAUUGUCAACUCUGCUUCAAGUCUGCUCCUUGGAUCCUGCCUGAACCUAACCACUAACAUGUUUUGAUGUGUGUAAACUGACAUUUUUAAAAAUUUUAUGUUUUUGUUCCCUGAUUGAUAAGACUUGGAACAAUUUAUUAACAAUCAAACUUGCAUAUUCUGAUUGCCUGGGGCAGUGAAUGUCAGUUGGUGGCCUGCAGGACACACACAGUAGCGCACAGUUGUGGUUUCAAUGAGAUCAACACAGCCACCUGGGCCAGAAGCAUCA